rnacentral:miRNA from 1 species
CACCACCACUGCCUAACUGCUCUCUCUCUCUCUCUCUCUCUCUCUCUCUCUCUCUCUCUCGGAAACGAGAAAGAGAAUGAGAAAGUGGAGAAGAGAGGAGAGAGAGAGAAAGAGAGAGAGGUUCGCAGUGGUGGUG